AUAAAUAAGCGGAGGAAAAGAAACCAAAUGGGAUUCCCUUAGUAACGGCGAGCGAAAAGGGAUYAGUCCAGCGCCAAGUCUUGACAUGUUAAUGUUCAAGAGAUGCGGCGUUAAUGUGUUGGUGCAUCGUACGUUGUUUCCGAUUUCAAGUUCCUUUGACAGGGACAUCCAUAGCGGGUGCUAGGCCCAUAGAGAUCGGAAGCUGRCGGACGCAGGCCAAUGCAUUCUAGAGUCAGGUUGCUUGAGAGUGCAGCUUAAAGUCGGUGGUAAACUCCAUCUAAGACUAAAUAUGACAGCGAGACCGAUAGCAAACAAGUACCGUGAGGGAAAGUUGCAAAGCACUUUGAAGAGAGAGUUAAACAGUACGUGAAACCACUGGGAGGCAAACAGAUGGAACCACGAAGUUGUGCUUUGGUCGAUUCAAUCAACAGUGGUGGUUGAUGGUGCYAACGGGRAUCUCUACGGAGGUUACGAAGGUGCCAGUGACAAUAAUCACUGUUGGUGCAUUUCGUGCCAAAGAUGCAAAGCCACGUUUGACUAGAGUUGGAACGGCCUUGGGAAAGGAUUCGAGAAAGGUGCCCGUCAGGUGCUUGCAUUUGGCGGCGUUAUAGUCUCGAUUCGGAACCGUUGCCUAACAAGCUGGUCAAUAAAAUUACUCCGUUCGGAGUGGAGCAGUGUUGGCCUGUGGCGACAGUCGUUGUGAUUAARAUAAUGUUUUCAUGUCUUUGGAUGUGCAAACUUAUUUUCUUGAUGGCGGCUCCAGCUACUUGCUAAACAUUGUGGAACUGUGGCGCGAGUAGGUCGGUUUCCCUCUGACCCGUCUUGAAACACGGACCAAGGAGCCUAUCAUAUACGCGAGUCGCUCGGUCUUGAAUAGGCCUGAGAGGCGAAAUGAAAGUAAAGUUACGAAGCUUCGGCUGCAGUAACGGCCCGCCAACUUCCUUUUUCGGGGAUAUGGCGGAGCUGGAGCGUAUACGAUGGUACCCGAAAGAUGGUGAACUAUGCUUGGGCAAGACGAAGCCAGAGGAAACUCUGGUGGAGGUCUGUAGCGAUUCUGACGUGCAAAUCGAUCGUCAGACCUGAGUAUAGGGGCGAAAGACUAAUCGAACCAUCUAGUAGCUGGUUCCCUCCGAAGUUUCCCUCAGGAUAGCAGGCGCUUGUUGGACAGUUUCAUCCGGUAAAGCUAAUGAUUAGAGGUCUUGGGGUUGAAACGACCUCAACCUAUUCUCAAACUUUAAAUGGGUGAGAUGAUCGACUUUCUUGAUUGAAGCCGAUCAAUUGAAUGUGGGUGCCUAGUGGGCCAUUUUUGGUAAGCAGAACUGGCGCUGUGGGAUGAACCAAACGUCGAGAUAAGGCAUCAAAUGUGUACGCUCAUCAGAUCCCAGAAAAGGUGUUGGUUGCUAUAGACAGCAGGACGGUGGCCAUGGAAGUCGGAAUCCGCUAAGGAGUGUGUAACAACUCACCUGCCGAAGCAACUAGCCCUGAAAAUGGACGAUGCUGUAGCGUGAAGCCGAUACUCGACCGUUAUGAUGAUACAUAGAAUGCGAKAUCAUAACGAGUAGGAGGGCCGCAAUGGUAGCGUUGAAGAUGUCRGGCGUAGGCCUGCUUGGAGCUGCCAUUGUUGCAGAUCUUGGUGGUAGUAGCAAAUACUCAAGUGAGAAUCUUGAGGACUAAGGUGGAGAAGGGUUCCAUGUGAACAGCAGUUGGACAUGGUUCAGUCGGUCCUAAGGAAGCGGAGAAAUCCGUUGAAACAGCCCGAUAAUUAUUAACAUAWUUGAUUAUGGGUUGAUUUUCCGAAAGGGAAUUGGGUUAAUAUUCCCAAACUAAGACAUGAAGGAUGUACUCUCGGGUACGAAUGCGGUAACGCUAUCAAAUUCGGAGACAUCGGCAAUAGUCCUGGGAAGAGUUUUCUUUUCUCUAUAAGGUGUUCAAACCAUGAAAACAGCUUGUCUGGAGAUAUGGUUGUUGAYACCGAAGAGCUCAGCGGUUCUUGCUGAGUCCGGUGCGCUAUUGUCGGUCCUUGAAAAUCCGAAGGCGAGGUUUACCUUCAUGCUUAGCCGUACCAAUAUCCGCAGCAGGUCUCCAAGGUUAGCAGCCUCUAGUUUCUAGAAUAAUGUAGGUAAGGGAAGUCGGCAAAACUGAUCCGUAACUUCGGGAUAAGGAUUGGCUCUGAAGGAUGGAUCAUUCGGGCUGUGUUUGGAAACAGGUGAUACGCCUGAYCGGGACUGGAUGCUGGCAACGGUGUUCGGACCUGGUUGGCGUCUGCCUGCGGACGAUCAUGGCUACGCUCCUAGGCCCUGUGCUUGGGAUGUCGUUUCGGGUGAUAUUAAACAUCUGACUCAGAACUGGCACGGACCCCGGGAAUCCGACUGUCUAAUUAAAACAAAGCAUUGCGAUGGCCGGAAACCGGUGUUGACGCAAUGUGAUUUCUGCCCAGUGGUAUGAAUGUCAAUGUGAAGAAAUUCACUUAAGCGCUACUAAACGGCGGGAGUAACUAUGA
rnacentral:rRNA from 1 species